rnacentral:rRNA from 1 species
AUUGAACGCUGGCGGCAGGCCUAACACAUGCAAGUCGAACGGUAGCACAGAGAGCUUGCACUCGGGUGACGAGUGGCGGACGGGUGAGUAACGUCUGGGAAACUGCCCGAUGGAGGGGGAUAACUACUGGAAACGGUAGCUAAUACCGCAUAACGUCGCAAGACCAAAGUGGGGGACCUUCGGGCCUCACACCAUCGGAUGUGCCCAGAUGGGAUUAGCUAGUAGGUGGGGUAAUGGCUCACCUAGGCGACGAUCCCUAGCUGGUCUGAGAGGAUGACCAGCCACACUGGAACUGAGACACGGUCCAGACUCCUACGGGAGGCAGCAGUGGGGAAUAUUGCACAAUGGGCGCAAGCCUGAUGCAGCCAUGCCGCGUGUAUGAAGAAGGCCUUCGGGUUGUAAAGCACUUUAAGCGAGGAGGAGGCUCUUUUGGUUAAUACCCAAGAUGAGUGGACGUUACUCGCAGAAUAAGCACCGGCUAACUCUGUGCCAGCCGCCGCUGUAA